rnacentral:tRNA from 1 species
AGCUCAGUUGGUAGAGCAUGGUGUUUCCAACGCCAGGGUUGUGGGUUCGUUUCCCAC